UAAGCGGAGGAAAAGAAACCAACAGGGAUUGCCUCAGUAACGGCGAGUGAAGCGGCAAAAGCUCAAAUUUUAAAGCUGGCACCUCCGGUGUCCGCGUUGUAAUUUUGUGAGGCAUCUCCGGGUAGGGCGCCGGCCUAAGUUCCUUGGAACAGGACGUCAUAGAGGGUGAGAAUCCCGUGCUUGGCUGGCUGUCCCCGUCCAUGUGAGGUGUCUUCGACGAGUCGAGUUGUUUGGGAAUGCAGCUCAAAAUGGGUGGUAAAUUUCAUCUAAAGCUAAAUAUUGGUGGGAGACCGAUAGCGCACAAGUAGAGUGAUCGAAAGAUGAAAAGCACUUUGAAAAUAGAGUUAAAAAGUACGUGAAAUUGUUGAAAGGGAAGCGCUUGAGACCAGACUUCGGUGGGGAGUGAUCAGCUGUCCUUCUGGGCGGUGCACUUGCUCCCCUCCGGGCCAGCAUCGGUUGGGACGGCGGGAUAAAGGUCCUGGGAAUGUGGCUCCUUUCGGGGAGUGUUAUAGCCCGGGAUGAAAUGCCGCCAGCUCCGACCGAGGACCGCGCCUUCGGGCUAGGAUGCUUGGCAUAAUGGUCUUCAGCGACCCGUCUUGA
rnacentral:rRNA from 1 species